GAUGAAGAACGCAGCGAAAUGCGAUAAGUAAUGUGAAUUGCAGAAUUCAGUGAAUCAUCGAAUCUUUGAACGCACAUUGCGCCCGCCAGUAUUCUGGCGGGCAUGCCUGUUCGAGCGUCAUUUCAACCAUCAAGCCCCCGGCUUGUGUUGGGGACCUGCGGCUGCCGCAGGCCCUGAAAAGCAGUGGCGGGCUCGCUGUCACACCGAGCGUAGUAGCAUACAUCUCGCUCUGGGCGUGCUGCGGGUUCCGGCCGUUAAACCACCUUCAUAACCCAAGGUUGACCUCGGAUCAGGUAGGAAGACCCGCGGAACUUAAGCAUAUCAAUAAGCGGAGGA
rnacentral:misc_RNA from 1 species